rnacentral:rRNA from 1 species
AGAGUUUGAUCCUGGCUCAGGAUGAACGCUGGCGGCGUGCCUAACACAUGCAAGUCGAACGAAGCACCUUUUGAGAUUCUUCGGAUGAUUGAUCGGUGACUGAGUGGCGGACGGGUGAGUAACGCGUGGGUAACCUGCCCUGUACAGGGGGAUAACAGCUGGAAACGGCUGCUAAUACCGCAUAAGCGCACGAGGAGACAUCUCCUUGUGUGAAAAACUCCGGUGGUAUAAGAUGGACCCGCGUUGGAUUAGCUAGUUGGUGAGGUAACGGCCCACCAAGGCGACGAUCCAUAGCCGACCUGAGAGGGUGACCGGCCACAUUGGGACUGAGACACGGCCCAAACUCCUACGGGAGGCAGCAGUGGGGAAUAUUGCACAAUGGGCGAAAGCCUGAUGCAGCGACGCCGCGUGAGCGAAGAAGUAUUUCGGUAUGUAAAGCUCUAUCAGCAGGGAAGAUAAUGACGGUACCUGACUAAGAAGCACCGGCUAAAUACGUGCCAGCAGCCGCGGUAAUACGUAUGGUGCAAGCGUUAUCCGGAUUUACUGGGUGUAAAGGGAGCGCAGGCGGUGCGGCAAGUCUGAUGUGAAAGCCCGGGGCUCAACCCCGGUACUGCAUUGGAAACUGUCGUACUAGAGUGUCGGAGGGGUAAGCGGAAUUCCUAGUGUAGCGGUGAAAUGCGUAGAUAUUAGGAGGAACACCAGUGGCGAAGGCGGCUUACUGGACGAUGACUGACGCUGAGGCUCGAAAGCGUGGGGAGCAAACAGGAUUAGAUACCCUGGUAGUCCACGCCGUAAACGAU